GAGGGAGAGAGAAUGAUUCUGUGAGUCUCUUAACUCUGGUCCUCCUGUUACACAUCUUUUCUUCUACUUUUCCUUUGUUUCACACUUAAGCUUUGAAGAUGUAAAGUAGGACCAGAGGGUGAGAAAUUCAAGAACCUUGAAAUAAAAGACCUUUCUGUUUGCUUUUCAUUUCCUAAAAAGGAAGUCCUCACUGACUGUUCCUGUAAGGGAUAUUAAGCUGUGUGGAUUGUGAGUGAUUCGUCACACAGCAAUUUGGAGCAGGAAGCACACGAAACCCUAGAGCUAGCCUGCACGCAACUAAUUGAAGCCCUCAAUUAAUCGGAUUGGCUUCCACCUUCAGGAGAAAAGCAAAUACUAAGAAAACAAAUUAGCACCUGGAAUUUAACAACUUCCCUUUUUUGGUGUGGGGGCGCAUUAUAUUCAGAGUACAUGAUAACUGAUGGCUCGUCUCAUAGGCACAGACAUCUUUACAAUCCUCUAAGGCAGAGUGGUGUGGUGGAAACGGAGUUGGCAGAGGCAUCAGAUCUGCCCGGGUUUCCAUCCCAGCUCCAGCAUGCAUGGGCCAUGUCGCUUGGCAAGCAGUCUCACCACUCAGAGCCUUGAUUUCAGGAUUAAAAAAAUAAUAACCUAUUCAACAGAAUCAUGGUCGAGAAGAUUAGGGGUUUGUGCAACUCCUCACCUGGUGGAUACUCAACCGGAAUGAGUUCUCUUUCUCAGUUCCUGCCUACAGAUCUAUAGACACUUAGCUUUAAAAGCUUUGAUUAUGGCCAGUUGCCUGGUCAACCUAAUACCAGCAGAGGAGUGUAUUUUCCCUACUAUGGUGGAACAGAGGUAAAGGUUUUCCAAGUUUGAAGCAAUCAUACAAACAAAAUAGGAGCCCAAAGACUUCUGCGGAGCUUUGGAAUGAGAGAUGCCCAUUCUGGUUUCAGAAACGCCAGCGCCAUCUCUUGGAGGAGCAUGAAAUUGUUUCCUUGGGCUGAAGAAGCAUCCAUGGGGCCCCAGAAAGCAAUGAUGUCUUCGGUGGUUGCAUCAAUGACCAAACAUGUAUAAUAAACUGCUUCUUUGAACUUGAGGACAUCUGAUUAAGAGAUAGAAAGCAAAACAAGCCUUCACAGAUGGUAAUAGUGCUGGGACACAUCACCUUUUGUGAAUAACUGAAGAGCAUAUAUUAAUAACAGAAAUCACAUUGGUGUGCCCUUACUGAGGAUCGACAAAGGAGAACACGUCUAUGUUUUGUGGAAACACGACUGAAGCCUUCAUCCAAUGACGUUGGCCGGCCCCGCUCUCCUCGUGCCAUCAAGCACUCUACGCUGACUCAGUAGAGCAGCACAGCCCUGUGUGUGGAGAGAUUCCCAUGCACCAUGGGAAGAGGGACCAAGCCUGGGCCCUGGAGGGCGCAGCCGGUGCAGUCUGCAGGAGGCUCUGUGUUUCAAUAACUGUGGUGUCCCCACACCCCAAGGGCCAUCUGUAGAUCUGCUGCUCCAAAGUCUCUCACAGUGGCUCUUCUUUGGAGGUCACUCUCCAGUUAAGUGGGGGACCAACUGCAAACUUCUCCCAUCAAUAUGAACUGCAAUAUGAUAUUGCAGCAAACAAAACACACACACACACACACACUCUCCCAGAAGCAUUUAACAGGAGAAGUGUGUACCUACACAUUUAGUCCCAAGAUCUCUUUCCAGGCCCUGUCCAGGUUCGUGGUGGAAGCCUGUCCUCUGCACACUGGCUUCCCCAAAUCUUCCCAUAUUCCAGAGCAGGGGAAUCCUUUCUCCAUCUUUUGGCUCAGAUCUACUGCGGAGUGUGGGAGAAAUAUUAAAAGUAAUGAUCCUUGAUGGUUAAAGCUGCCUUAUCAAGUUCCUGCCCCUGGGUUUAAAUAAAGUCUCUUUUUCUGCCAGCUUUAGAUAAGGAUGGAGGGUGAGAGAAACAGACAGAGACAGAAAGAGAGAGAGAAGAAGGGAGAGAGGCAGAGAAGCAAGGACUCUAUAGGGAAAGAAAGAGCUUGGACAUUAAUUCAUUUUAUGAAUAUUUGUUCUACUCUUCUUAAGAACAAGGUUUGUCCCAGGUGCCUUGGGGGCAAGAGAGAAUUUAAGGGGUGGCAAGGGGCCACUGUCCCGCAUCUUGGGGACGUUGUAGGCAGGCAGGUAGAGAUGUGCUAAGGUUCCCGGGUCCUGGAGAUGCCAGGCAAGUUGGAAAAUGCAGAAGAGGAGGCUGGGGUGGACAGGGGUCAUUUUGGCUGAAGCUGGUUAUGAGAGGCUUAGAAGGUGAAAGUGUCUGCUGUGCUGGGCCCUGAAAUGUAGGUCUUCUUGGCCACAGUGGGAAAGGGGAGCCCUAGAGGUCCUUGAACAGUCUGAGUGACAACACCUGGGCUGCCCAGCCCCAAAGGCCAAAACCAAGACACGUCUUUGUCCCAGAGGUUGGGCUUGGUGGCUGCAGCUGUGGAUGCUGACCCUUUCAUGGGCAUGGGGACAGGUGAAAAGCAGGAGCGAGGCAGGCAGGAGUGGGUGCCAGCACCAGCCCACAGCCAUGAGGCCUGUGCCAGGCCAGCCUGUGGGGACACUGGGUCCCCGAGAGAGACAUGGAAGCUCCCGCCAGCAGGAGACUUGAAGGUGGUCAGUUCUGAAGUCCUCUCCUCCUUAGGCCUGGACCUGGGGACACAGGCUCCAGCCAGCAGCAGGAGCCCAUGAAACUCAUUUGUCCCAAUCUUCUUCCCAAGUCUCAACAGCUUUCGGGGGGUUCUGUGACAGAUGCCCCACUUCCAGCUCCACAGCCAGCCCUACGCUAACUCUGACAGAUGAAAGGCCUCAGAAUCCCCUUCUUCAAUUGUACUGCACCCAACUUGUGGAAAGCAAAACAAUAUUAAAAAUACUUUUUAAGAAA
rnacentral:lncRNA from 1 species